rnacentral:lncRNA from 1 species
UUGAGUUGUAGUUCUGUUAUUAUAGAUGGGUGUUGUCUCUCAGAUCACCUAGAUUGUAAUCACCUGAGGGCACAGGUGGGCUCUUGCCUAGCACAAAGUUGAGCACACAGGAAAUACUAAUUAAAUACACAUGGGAGUAAGGACUGGGCUCUGGGCUUCAUCAUCUUAUCCAGAGACUGUUUGGAGUUGACUUUUUGUCUCCACAGAAGUCCAGCUCUGUAACCUAUUAGAAGAUAGAGCACUUUGGACAUUUUGAUUAGCCCUGAGCUGACUGCUGCCAAUCUCCCUCUUUUUGCUGAGGAAGACUGGCUCUGAGCUAACAUCCGUGCCCAUCUUCCUCUACUUUAUAUGUGGGACACCUUCCACAGCAUGGCUUUCCACGUGGUGCCAUGUCCGCAGCCGGGAUCCAAACCAGCGAACCCCAGGCCGCUGAAGUGGAAUAUGUGAACUUAACCACUGAGCCACCGGGCCGGCCCUAACGCUUGCUUUUGACAGCUAUUGCUGCAAAACAAACCACCACAAAACUCAGUGGUUUAAAACAGCAAUUAUUUGUUAUUGCUUAUAUAUCUGCUGGUAGGCCUAGGGUCAAGUGAUGUAGGUUAAGUUCUCCUGGGUGGCUCUCCUCUAUUCAAUGGUUCUGGCUGGAGUUGACUUUACUGGGGUCUAUUCUAUGUGUGUUUAUUCAGAGGCAUAGACCAGAGGGUGGGUGAGCAGCAGUUACACAGAGGAUUUCUGCUCAUGGAGAUGGCAAAAAUGCAUGAGGGCUAGGAGAAAAACUGAAGACUCUAAGGCUUAGCCUUGAAAAUAUCAUACAUUUGGUUCUUGUUUAUUCUAUUGGCCAAAGCAAGUCAUAAGGCCAAACCCAAAGUCAAGAGGGAGAGCAAUAUACUCCACAAAUUUAAUGGGAGGAAUUGCAAAGUCUCUUGGCAAAGAGUGUGGAUACAGUGAGACGUGAAGAAUUGCAGCCAUUCAUGUAAUCUAUCACAACAGAUUUUUUUUCCUUUUUUUGUCAUUUUAGUUAUGGUAUAGUGAUAAAAUAUUGUGUUUUUAAUUUACAUUUCUCUGAUGACAAAUGAAGUUGAGAACUUUUUUGAUAUAUUUUUGUCCAUCUGUAUACCUUUGUAAAGGGUUGUUCCACAUCCUUUGCCCAUUUAAAAGCUUGAGUUGUCUCCCUUUUUCUUACUGAUAUGUAGGA